CCCCUUCAAACUCCUUACCUGUCAGAACUAAACACUGGUCUUAGUGGAUAUAAAAGAGGAAAAGUAAAGUUGGAACUCACUAACUUAUUUUGGGAACCACAAACUAGUUUAAACCAUCU
rnacentral:snoRNA from 1 species